AACAACAACAUAAGUACUAAACAUAUUAUUCUCCUUGAUUAAUAUAGUUAGAAUAAUCACCAUGAAGACAUGUUCGAAGACAUUUCAAGAACCUAUUACCUUCAACUAGAAUCACUUUGAUCAAAUCAAACUCUUUCAUCUAACCCUAUAAUACUAUUCUUAUACCCCAUUUUCUUACCAAAGUCUUUCUUACCUAAGUCUAUGUUCACUGGUUCGUUCCUUAACAACAACAACAACAUAAACUACAACAACAACGACAACAUGAACUACAACAACAACAACAACAUAAAUAACAACAACAUAUUAUUCUCCUAGAACCACUUUGAUCAAAUCCAACUCUUUCAUCUAACUCUAUAAUACUAUUUCCACAUAAAACCAUGAAUAUAGAUAUGCCUCAUACACAUUCAACAACAACAACAACAUAAAUAUAAACA
rnacentral:lncRNA from 1 species